rnacentral:rRNA from 1 species
UACGAAGGGGGGCUAGCGUUGCUCGGAAUUACUGGGCGUAAAGGGCGCGUAGGCGGGUCGUUAAGUAGGGGGGUGAAAGCCCAGGGCUCAACCCUGGAAUUGCUUUCUAAACUGGCGACCUUGAGUAUGGCAGAGGUGUGUGGAACUCCGAGUGUAGAGGUGAAAUUCGUAGAUAUUCGGAAGAACACCAGUGGCGAAGGCGACACACUGGGCCAUUACUGACGCUGAGGCGCGAAAGCGUGGGGAGCAAACAGG